rnacentral:tRNA from 4 species
CGGGGUGUAGCGCAGUCCGGUAGCGCUCCUGGUUUGGGACCAGGCGGUCGCAGGUUCGAAUCCUGUCGCCCCGACAA